rnacentral:rRNA from 1 species
GAAUUUUUGUCAAUGGGGGAAACCCUGAACAAGCAACGCCGCGUGAAGGACGAAGACCUUCGGGUUGUAAACUUCUGUCGGAGGGGACGAAAGCGGUCGAGGCUAAUAUCCUCGGCCGUUGACGGUACCCUACGAGGAAGCCCCGGCUAACUCCGUGCCAGCAGCCGCGGUAAUACGGGGGGGGCAAGCGUUGUUCGGAAUUACUGGGCGUAAAGGGCGCGUAGGCGGGCGGACAAGUCUCUCGUGAAAGCCCACGGCUCAACCGUGGAAUUGCGGGAGAUACUGUCUGUCUUGAGUCCGGGAGAGGAGGGUGGAAUUCCCAGUGUAGCGGUGAAAUGCGUAGAUAUUGGGAGGAACACCGGUGGCGAAGGCGGCUCUCUGGACCGGUACUGACGCUGAGGCGCGAAAGCUAGGGGAGCAAACGGG